UACGGAGGGUGCAAGCGUUACUCGGAAUCACUGGGCGUAAAGCGCAUGCAGGCGGUCUAAUAAGUUGGAAGUGAAAUCCUAUGGCUUAACCAUAGAACUGCUUCCAAAACUGUUAGACUAGAGUCUGGGAGGGGAAGAUGGAAUUAGUUGUGUAGGGGUAAAAUCCGUAGAGAUAACUAGGAAUACCAAAAGCGAAGGCGAUCUUCUGGAACAGUACUGACGCUGAGAUGCGAAAGCGUGGGGAGCAAACAGGAUUAGAUACCCUGGUAGUCCACGCAGUAAACGAUGAAUGUUAGUCGUUGGGGCUCUAGUAGUUUCAGUGAUGCAGUUAACACAUUAAACAUUUCGCCUGGGGAGUACGGUCGCAAGAUUAAAACUCAAAGGAAUAGACGGGGACCCGCACAAGUGGUGGAGCAUGUGGUUUAAUUCGAAGAUACGCGAAGAACCUUACCUAGCCUUGACAUAUUUUAGAAUCCACCAGAGAUGGAGGAGUGCCUUCGGGAGCUAAUUUACAGGUGCUGCACGGCUGUCGUCAGCUCGUGUCGUGAGAUGUUGGGUUAAGUCCCGCAACGAGCGCAACCCUCGUCACUAGUUACUAACGGUUCGGCCGAGGACUCUAGUGAGACUGCCUUCGUAAGGAGGAGGAAGGUGAGGACGACGUCAAGUCAUCAUGGCCCUUACGGCUAGGGCAACACACGUGCUACAAUGGUUAGGACAAUGAGAAGCAAUAUCGCGAGGUGGAGCAAAUCUAUAAACCUAAUCUCAGUUCGGAUUGUAGUCUGCAACUCGACUACAUGAAGCUGGAAUCACUAGUAAUCGUAGAUCAGCUAUGCUACGGUGAAUACGUUCCCGGGUC
rnacentral:rRNA from 1 species